rnacentral:rRNA from 1 species
GACGAACGCUGGCGGCGUGCCUAAUACAUGCAAGUAGAACGCACAGUUUAUACCGUAGCUUGCUACACCAUAGACUGUGAGUUGCGAACGGGUGAGUAACGCGUAGGUAACCUGCCUGGUAGCGGGGGAUAACUAUUGGAAACGAUAGCUAAUACCGCAUAAUAUUAAUUAUUGCAUGAUAAUUAAUUGAAAGGUGCAAUUGCACCACUACCAGAUGGACCUGCGUUGUAUUAGCUAGUAGGUGAGGUAACGGCUCACCUAGGCGACGAUACAUAGCCGACCUGAGAGGGUGAUCGGCCACACUGGGACUGAGACACGGCCCAGACUCCUACGGGAGGCAGCAGGAGGGAAUCUUCGGCAAUGGACGAAAGGCUGACCGAGCAACGCCGCGUGAGUGAAGAAGGUUUUCGGAUCGUAAAGCUCUGUUGUAAGAGAAGAACGGGUGUGAGAGUGGAAAGUUCACACUGUGACGGUAUCUUACCAGAAAGGGACGGCUAACUACGUG